rnacentral:rRNA from 1 species
UGGGGAAUUUUGGACAAUGGGCGCAAGCCUGAUCCAGCCAUUCCGCGUGAGUGAAGAAGGCCUUCGGGUUGUAAAGCUCUUUCGCAAGGGAAGAAAACUUAACCUCUAACAUAGGUUGAGGCUGACGGUACCUUGAUAAGAAGCACCGGCUAACUACGUGCCAGCAGCCGCGGUAAUACGUAGGGUGCGAGCGUUAAUCGGAAUUACUGGGCGUAAGGCGUGCGCAGGCGGCAUGAUAAGUCAGAUGUGAAAUCCCCGAGCUCAACUUGGGAACUGCGUUUGAAACUAUCAAGCUAGAAUAUGUCAGAGGGGGGUAGAAUUCCACGUGUAGCAGUGAAAUGCGUAGAGAUGUGGAGGAAUACCAAUGGCGAAGGCAGCCCCCUGGGAUAAUAUUGACGCUCAUGCACGAAAGCGUGGGGAGCAAACAGGAUUAGAUACCCUAGUAGUCCCUGAGCGGGCUGGCAAGGCGCAU